rnacentral:ribozyme from 1 species
UGCGAAGGGAAAGGUGGUUUUGACACUUGGAGCAAGCCUGCGAUCCCGUACAACAUGCACUUCAAGAGCCAGUGCACAGCCUGCUCCGGUCGUGGCUUCAAGCAAGUUCAAGCAGCUCCCACUCCUGCCGCACCCGUGAUGGGAGGAAGCCCUUGCCCUGGAUGCGCAGGAAAAGGAGGACUCGACGAGAACAAGUCCCCCUGCGA